CUUCAGAUGGGUGCCAGCCUCAUGAAUCUUCAGGUUUUCUCUUUCCCUACUGCAUGCACUACUUAAGACUGUGCAGUUUGCUGUCGGUUUUGGUGCAUCAUGGGAAGAACACCGUGGUGCAGGCCGGCAGGAAAGGUUCUCAGCUGUGUUUUGAAAAGCUGGCAGUGUGGAACAAAUGGUGAGACAGUACUAACUCCUGAACCUGUUGCAGCUGAGAGAUCAUGGGCAUCUGCUC